UACGGAGGGGGCUAGCGUUGUUCGGAAUUACUGGGCGUAAAGCGCGCGUAGGCGGACCUGCAAGUCGGGGGUGAAAGCCCGAGGCUCAACCUCGGAACUGCCUUCGAUACUGCGGGUCUCGAGUCCGGAAGAGGAGAGUGUAAUUCCUGGUGUAGCGGUGAAAUGCGCAGAUAUCAGGAAGAACACCUAUGGCGAAGGCAGCUCUCUGGGACGGUACUGACGCUGAGACGCGAAAGCGUGGGGAGCGAACAGG
rnacentral:rRNA from 1 species